UAGGGAACGGUGCAGCUCCGGAGAUGGGCGCAGACGUAGCAGAGAAGUUAGAUUGCAGCUGAAGGAGAGAGGUCAGUAUCUCUUCCAAUCAAUCUCUCUGUCUGUCUGACGCUGUCCCCAUCUCAUCCCGGCGAAGGGAAAAGCUCCAACUUCGCUCCUCCGCGCAGUGCGUGCAACUCCGCUCCCGGCGUAUAAGGUUGUGGCCGUUCGGUGCCUUAUCUGAGACGGGAAAAUAGCAGCGCUCCUUCCAAUCACGGGGAGAAUUGGUCUCCUCCCGUUCAGUUGUUACAUAUAUAUGUAUUUUUUCUUUGGGUCUCAUUUUGGAACUGCAGUUGACAACUUUUUAUUUAAAACCACUUUACCAGGCACCACUUAAUGCAUUAUUCACGUUUUUAAAAAUGCUUGAGAGAAAUCACCUUAAUGAAGAGAACAUUUGCGGUAAUUUGGUGAUAAUUAUCAGAAUCGCCAAACAUUCGCAGAGGCUGUAGCGUUACGUGUUGGAAGAAAAGCAAAGCGCAUUAUUCUAAUGGUCUGAUAUGCAAACUACGGACCGUCUAAUUAUAACCUUUAAUAGCGCAGACGCGAUGCGGUGCCGCUGUUGGGACGGGAGGGCCGCGGCCGUGCGCUCCGAGGACCGCGUGUGCGCCUCCAUCCAGCGAGUGCGUUCCCGUGGAGCAGGGCCCUGCCAAACCGCAUUUAAGAGAAUAAAAAUUAAUGACUGCGAAUUUGAGCGUUAAAUUAACAUUAAUUAUAUGACCUGCCUGCUGGAAAGAUUAAAUUUCUUACGCCCUAAUUAGA